UACGUAGGGUGCAAGCGUUAUCCGGAUUUACUGGGCGUAAAGGGUGCGUAGGCGGCCUGCUAAGUCUGGAGUGAAAGGUACCGGCUCAACCGGUACAGGCUCUGGAAACUGGCGGGCUAGAGAGCAGGAGAGGGCGGUGGAACUCCAUGUGUAGCGGUAAAAUGCGUAGAUAUAUGGAAGAACACCAGUGGCGAAGGCGGCUUCCUGGUCUGCAACUGACACUGAGGCGCGAAAGCGUGGGGAGCAAACAGG
rnacentral:rRNA from 1 species